rnacentral:tRNA from 1 species
GGGAGCAUAGCUCAGCGGUCAGAGCAGGGGUCUCAUAAACCCUUGGUCGCAGGUUCGAAUCCUGCUGCUCCCA